UGCCUGCCCGGUGACAAUUGUGUUAAACGGCCGCGGUAUUUUUGACUGUGCGAAGGUAGCGUAAUCAUUUGCUCUUUAAUUGGGGGCUUGAAUGAAUGGCAAGACAGAAGCUAUGCUGUCUUUUCUUUAAUUUCUUGAAUUUAAUAUUGUUGUGAAGAAGCGACAAUGGGGCCGUAGGACGAGAAGACCCUGUCGAGCUUUACUAGGGGCAGUUUCGUUUUAUUAGACUUUAAGGGCUAAUUGUUUUUUCUGGUAACAGGAAUCCUGUGAGUUACUUUUGAAGCAGGCUAUUGGAAAUUGUUUUAUUGUUUGGUUGGGGCAACCGCGGAGAACAAGAAUCCUCCGUUCUUUAUGAGGAAAAAGUUACUGCUUUGUUGUAUUAAUAUAUUAAAUAUUGAUUUAAGU
rnacentral:rRNA from 1 species